rnacentral:miRNA from 1 species
GGCAGCAGGACGGGAGCG